rnacentral:rRNA from 2 species
CGGUCCCAAGGGUUGGGCUGUUCGCCCAUUAAAGCGGUACGCGAGCUGGGUUCAGAACGUCGUGAGACAGUUCGGUCCCUAUCCGUCGCGGGCGCAGGAAAUUUGAGAGGAGCUGUCCUUAGUACGAGAGGACCGGGAUGGACGCACCGCUGGUGUACCAGUUGUUCUGCCAAGGGCAUCGCUGGGUAGCUAUGUGCGGACGGGAUAAGUGCUGAAAGCAUCUAAGCAUGAAGCCCCCCUCAAGAUGAGAUUUCCCAUUCCGCAAGGAAGUAAGAUCCCUGAAAGAUGAUCAGGUUGAUAGGUCUGAGGUGGAAGCGUGGUGACACGUGGAGCUGACAGAUACUAAUAGAUCGAGGACUUAACCUAU